UGAAAAUAACUCUACAUGAACAAGUUAUAUACUUCCAGUAAAGAGGAGAUAAUCUAAGAGGAAAAGGCGUUAAAAUUAAGGAAAAACUUUGCACAGAAGGUGAGACUUUAGUUGCAACUUGAAGGCAGGAGAACCAGGAGGCAGAGUUCCAGGAGAGAAUUCCAGGUAUGGAGGACAACAUGGCGCCAUUGGAAGUAGCAGGAUGGAAGCUGUGCGGCUGGGAAACAGCGCCACUCGCAGCCGAGGACUGGGCUCAGGCUCGUGCGAGAUUGUCCUUUCCCUUCCGGGCUCUGGCACCAAGGAGAAGAUCUGAUCGCCCAGUGGAGUCCUCCCGGGAGGAGGAGAAAAAGCGAGAGGGAGGAGGCAGCAAAGAGAGAGGGAGCGAGAGAAGCCAGAAGGAGCAAAGGAGGGAGAGAAAGAGACACCCUGAGAUUCCAAUCCAGCUCCUACAAUCUGCUCCUCGGAUCAGUUUCCUUCUAGAUUGCAAGGAUGUGGCUUGGAUUUUUCCCCUCCUCCUUAAAACGAUUUCCAUAGUAACCUGCUCAAGUGGGCUUCAGAGCGCAAACCUGAGGAUUUUCACCGGGCGCCCCUGCUCAGGAUGACAUCUGACAGGUACAGUGCUCCAUCUUCUGCACCUCCCUGCUGCCUGAUCUAUCAAAUUCAAGGAGGGGAUUGGAUUAGGUGAGAUUUCAUAUUUUUCCUAGCUCUAUGUCUUGAUUCUAUGGUCCUAUUAUUUUUUCUAUUGCAUAGAUUUAUUUUUAAUGACCUUUAAACCAUCAUAUGAGGAGGGAAAGUAGGUUUAGAUUUUUGGGAGUUUCUUUGACUGCUCAUUAUUAUACUUAAUGGAAGUUAAUGUGGUGGACUGAUUAUAACAGUAAUAAUAAUAG
rnacentral:lncRNA from 1 species